ensembl:lncRNA
GCGAGAAUUGGACAGCUAAUGAUGAUCACGCAGGCUUCACCCCAUUCCUCCACCUCCCUCAUCAUCUCUACCACACGAGCCUCAUUGUCUCUCCGUGAGGUGGCCCCAAGAAAGUCUGAGGUUUGUGAACUACAUAGCACUUACUGCCCCAAGCUCCUUACCACUGUCCCCUUCUCCAAGUCAGUCACCACUCUUGCCAGCUCUGUCCUGGUCCCCCAACUCCUCUGCGGCCAUACAGGGUCCCAAUGUCCCUCUUUCACCGGAGCCUUUCCACUUUACCAGCUUGACAUAUUAAACUUCUGAGUAGAAUGUUACCAUUUAACCACAGGUGCCAUGGCUUUAAGAGAUGUGGAAACCCUGGAGCUGGAAACCCACACCCCAGGCCUUACCUCUCUGAGCCUCAUUUCCGUUGUUCUCAGGUGUGGGUGAUGCCACCUAUCUCUGACAGUCAUGGUGAGGAGGAGCAGAAACUCUACACGAGACGCACUUAAGCAGCGCUUGUUACACACUAGGGCGGGGCUAGGUUCCCCUCUCUCCUUCCUCCUCUGGGUUCCAGACGGGCUCCAGUGGGGCUGGUUCUCUUGGAUCCAGAGAUGUCUCUGGGCUGCACUAGCCCAUCCCCUUCAUUCCAUUAGUAAAUCCUGGAGUCCAGGAGCUGCAUCAAAUUCACUGCAGCUCAACAAACCUCUGGUGGGUGCCUGUUGUGCGCCAGGUGCCCUGACAGUGGCUGAAGAUGUAGAGACGGAACAAGAAAGGACCUCGUACCCUGGAAGCUCCAGUGUGAGACACAGAGACACGCCGUGUCAAGCGCUAAGUAAUCCGCCAUGAGCCACCUGAGGAGGAGGAAGGACUCCUUUUCUUUGCGAAACUGGGAUUGGAGAGGAGGGAAUAAGUGCUGUCUGGAAGAAGAGAAGAGAGAAGCCCAGCGAGUGGUGUAACUAGUUUGGAGUGUGCUGUGUGAUGUCAUCUGUUCCCCUGUCUUACCAUGGAAACUUCAGUAAAAUCCCCUCUGCCCACCCACACUUUGGGAAUUGGAUAUAUAUGUGAUACGUGCUACAGAGUGAGCGUGGGGGUAGAGCAGAGGCUGACCUGCAUUCAGGUCCCGCAUGUGGAGGAUUGCCCGAUCAAUUACUCCUUUCCACAGCCAUCCAUGGACUGCAGACCAUGCACCAGCGUGGUGCCAAAGCUGGGAACAACCCCGAAUGUGAUGUGGUCCUGCCCUCCAUCAAAGACCAGAGGGGAGGACUCCGCAGACCUAUUAGUUCAGAACCCAGGAUGGAUUCUCCAGGGGGCAGAGGAGUCCUACCUGAGCAGCUUCUGGAAGCCAGAGUGGGGCCAGCACAUACAUUUUCCCACUCAGUCCUCAGAAACUCGGCUCAGAGGGUAGGGGACUGGCUCAGGGUCACACAGCUGGGAGGAGGUAAAGCCGGAUGCGCCCCCAGGUGUGUAACUUUAUAGAUCAGCAUUGCUCAGGGCUCACCAGCCAUGCUGAUGCAGAAAUGAAGACGGGCACUCUGUCCCCUUGCCCCAGGCAGCCUCAGCGCUGCAUUUCUGUCUCGACACUCCCCCGACAGCGGAAGGACCCCUCACCUCCAGCCUUGGGCUUUAUCCCAGCUGUCGCCAAAGUUGCAGACAUGACUUAGGGCCAGAAGAUCCUCACAGGCUCUGCCCUCAUCCUGCCCACUGCUCCUGCCCCCGACCUCAGGGACUUCAGGGGACACGUAUGGCUUUUAUCUGCCUGGCAUCUAUCUCUUUUAAAACUACCUCAAAUUUCCUUUGGUGCCUGCAUCCCCCUCCCACUAUGAGUCCAUGUGGCCCUCAGAGGCAGAGCCCACUCCCAAGCUCCAGGGUUGGCUAUGGGCCUGAAAUCCUCCCCCCGCCCUUGGCCACAGUGACUGGUUCAUGGGAGGACAUGUGACCUAACCUGGGCCAGUGACACUCAGUCUUGAGAAUUUUACUGUUACUACUGAGAAGGAGAUGCUCCCUUUGUUGAACCAUUAGGAUGUGGGCCUAGUGCUAUAGGCAGCCGUCUUGUGAUCACAGGGAGAGAGCAAGCCUGAGGAAGAGCCCAGCCUAGAAGAAGCCAAGAAGAGCUGAGAGGUGAAGACGGAUCUUUGAUAAUGUUUUCUGAACUUCCGGAUCACACUGCCCCUAAAGACGCCCUUCCCCUCUUCAAUAGUCAGUAACCUCCCUUCUGCUCAAGCCAGCUUGAGUUUAGGUUUCUAUCUGGCUCUUUCCCCAAAGUGAAAAGAGUUGGGACUAAUUUAGGCAUCAACAUCUUGUAGGAAUUGUGCCAAUGUGUUAACCGCUGCCCACUCUAAUCCCCUGGAAGGAAUCUGAGAUGAAUUGAAUCCAAAUCCAUCUUUGACAGUGGAGGAAACUGAAUCCCAGAUUUAGAAAAACAAAGUAACAUCCAAAGCCACAGAACCAGUAAGGGGCAGAACUGAGAUUCCAACUCAAACCUGAAGACUCUUCAUCCUGAGUCCAUUCUGGACCAUCGUGUGAUUCAUUUGUUUAGUUCUGAAAAGGUCUGCAUGCAGUGUGUGUACAUAGCAUGGAUGUGUUUCUGUGUCCUCAGAGAGAUACUGAGGUCCUCAAGGGCCAGGCUUGUGCCGCUGACAUCCCUGACAUCUCCCAGGCCCAAGUUAACACAGUGGUUGUCCUCAAGGGAUCCCUGACAUCAAGUAUAAAUGGGCUUCCAAAGAAUGCCACUCUGGCAUGCCCAGAGCUGGGAGGUUAUCUGGUUCUGGGAAUGACACUGAGAGGCCAGGGUGGGAGUUUACAGGCCUCCCCAGCAGGCAGGCAGAAAGAUGAAAACACAGACACUUGGAGACAAAGGGCUGAAGCCAUGCCCACUGAGGACCCCGGAGAGGAAGGCCAGGAUCUCAGAGCGGGCAGAGGAAGAAGUCAGUGGGCAACUGUCAAGGAGACACAUGAUUGUGUAAGGUGGGUACAUCUGUGUAAAGUAGCCGCUCCAUUCUUAAUUGCAUCAGGCCAAACCCCCUGGUCCAUCCAGACAAGACCCUGGACCCCAAAUCCUGGGGCAGCCUAGACCCAAGCCCAAGCCUCUUACAGCAUCACUGCCCUCUCUCCUGACUCAUCCCUACAGGGCUUCUCCCUGUGCCCAUCCCUGUGGGAGGAUGUACUCUCCACUCCAUUGACACCGGACUUGAUGAUAUGGCUCCUUUUGGUGAACGGAAGAGGAACAGAAGUGACAUCCAAGCAAAAACUUUAGGAGUGUCACAUGUUUCCACCAUCUUUCUUGAUCUUUUCCCUCUGCCCCCAGAAUAACAUAUCUUGGAUCAGGCCUGCUUUUUCACUCUGAACCCCAGAAUGAAGAUUUAUAGAGCUGAGCCACCAACGGCCCACAGCAGAUAUGUACCAUGAGCAAAAAGUCAACUUUUGUUGGUGUAAGCCACUGAGAUUUGGGGAUAGAUUGUUACUGCAAACAAUUAGUUAGCAAAAGCUAACUACUACAGAGGGCAACGCGCACAGCUUUAAGGCCACUUAUGACAACCCAAUGGGGAGCCAAGUGGCUCCCCACGUUGCUUCAAAUCAAAGGGUACAGUGGCUUCCAUUGAACAUGAACAGGAGUCACAUGGGAUACUUAGUGAAAUGCAGAUUCCCAGAUCCCCCUCCUGAGAUUUGGAGCCAGUUCAUCAAGGGGGGUCCACAGAUUCGUUUUUUGACAAGCUCUGAAGAUGACAUAUGGGCUGUCAACAGACCACACUUUGAGAAACCUUGAUCUAAUAAGUCCAAUCUUUUUGAUAUUCAGAGAGGCACAGUGCCGUGCCCAAGGUCACACAGCAAGGUGCUAAUCAGGAAACAGAUCUUCACUCUUUUCCCUGAAGCAUACUGUCCUUCCUCAGAGAAACAGGGGGAAAGCAGAAGAGAAGAGAGAAACUCACAGAGUGAAAAUGCAGCUCCUGAGAGAAAGACCAGUGGAGGCCCAGAAUUCAAGUUGAGCCAGGGUCCAGGUUCCAAGCUGAGGAGGAGGCUGCCCUGUGGGUGGGUGGCUAGGUGGCCCCCUGGGGCCUCCCCUGGAAGAGUGGGGAUGGGGAGUAAGGAGUCCAAUUACAGAGCAGGGAGGCUAAAGGAAAGAGAAAGAGAAAACAAAUAAAAAUAGGAGGAAAAAAUGUCUUCCAGCCCUGGUGAGCCCAAACAUCCCAGCAUCGCUGCAGGAGCCACCCCAGCCCUCUUCGAUUUUGAUGUACAGUUUGAAACAAAUCAAUAGCGGUAUAAUAAUACUCAGCACGCUGUGUAAUUUUUAUAUCAUUAGUUUUCAUUUUCCGCUCCCCAUGCAUCAAAAAACUUACAACGGGCUCGUAAAGUUUAUUUAGUAUUCCAUGAAUUCCUAAUCAGUUUCAUUUCAUAAUGAUUCAGGAGCCGCCCGCUGCCUAGGCCCCCGUGUCAAAAAAUCGAUAAAACCAACACAGUUUUCCUGAUGGCGGCUGCAAAAGGAUCUAUUGUAGGGGAAUUAUGAUUUAUGCCCUGGCCUGAACCAUGAGCAGCAGCCUCCACCCAGCGGCUCAGGGCUGAGGUCUUCGCCGAUAAUGAUUUAUGCACCUUCUGCUGGCCCCACCUUAGCUCCCUCCCUGCCCCAGCUGGCCCCUGACACUGGAGGGAGGGGGCCGGGUCCAGCAGGGAGAGAAGGAGGGAGGAAG